AUUCGUAUAAAAAGUCAAACGAAUGGUCUGAUGCUCAAGCGAUCGUUCAGUUGUCAAACACUUAACACCUGCAAGACAGACGGCAAGCAUUCACGAUGUCCAUAGGCAAAGCAACGCUGAUUCUAGCAAUUGUUCUGGCCGUUUGCGUGCUCGACGUGGCCAAGGCGGACGAUAUACAAGUUACUUCAGCCCCUCUAAAGCUGUUUCAAGACACCGCUGCAAAGAUACACGACUGGACCUCCGUUCUGGUUUCCAUGAUACAGGAUUUUAUAAAGAGAAUGAGUGUUACGCUAGGCACCUCUUAGGUAGGAUUGCAAAUCGCUAAUGCAUUUUUUCCCAAGAAAUUAUGUAUGUUUUUUUGAAAUUCUAUAUUGGUUGUGAAUUUAUUGAUGCUUUGCUUAAUUGAAUUUAUAUUUUUUUCACUCCAUUUUUCAAUGACUUCAAUGUAAACUUCCAAGCUUAUAGAGUAAACCUACAAAAAACUUUAAACGCAGUAUAUUAUUGUGGAUUACGCACGUUUCGCCAAUAACUUUUGGCUUCUUCAGAUCUUUGUUAAAAUUAAAAAUAACAAUUCUACAGAGAAGAAUACGAAACAUAUGGUUGUUCAAAACAUGACAUAACAACAAUUUUAAUAGUUCAUAUUUGUAGACACGGUGAUAAGAGAAUACAUUUCUCCAGUCAAAGACAAGCGUAGUAUUACCUUCAUUUCGUAUUUUUCUUUGUAUGAUUGAUACAUUUGUUUUAAAAUAAAGAACUGAAGGGGCUAAAAAUAAUUGGCGAAACGUACACGUAAUCAAUAAUAAUAUGCUAUAUUGAAAGUUUUUUGUGGUUUUACUCUACGAAUUUGAAGAUUAUAUUUAAAUCAUUUGCUUAAUCGAGUAGAAACAAGUUGCAUUUGUAAAAGAUGAAUAAAAUAAAAUGAAUAUUUUAAUUCAACGGCAAAAUUUUCCUUUUUCCAAGCAGUUCCAUUCAAUUUCCCGUUUCGGUAAAUGCUUCACAAAAAAAAAAUCACUCAAAGCCGUAUGUUGCACGCCAAAAUUCCCUGUGGGAAGUUUCUCGUCACAAUGCACAAGCCACACGUAAAGUUAGCUCAGAGUCGCUUCUGGCGCUCGAGGAAGGAAAACUUGUCCGAAACAAAUAAAUCUUCUCUCCUCUCGUGCGCGCGAUGCUGUGCGCAACGCACGCGUGGUCUCCUGUGUACCG